UUGGCAUACUUCAAGCAGAUCCUGGCUCCUGGGUCUCUGACCCCCCCCUCCUCCCUUGCACAGGGAGAUGUUCAGAUCAAGGAAUGCAAGUUUUUCUCUAACAAAUCAAUGUCCUUGAAACAUCUAACGUCUUUUGGGCACAGUCAGGGGACCUUUUCCUGUGAGAGGCAAAAAAAGAUCACAAAAUUGUGAUUAAACUCGAUUUCUUUUUUGGCUUUAAAUUAACCUGACAGCCGGAGGAUUUUGAUAUUACCCAAGGAAAACUAUAUGGUAAUAUUGACAUUUCUCAUUCCCUAGGUACUAAACCUUCAAAAAUGCAGAGCCACAGCUGUGCAAUUCAAGAUGAGCUGCAGCGUCUUUUCCUGCCACUGUUAACUCAGAUCAUGGCUGUUGGGAGUGGAGAUCGUCGUUAAGAGAAAAGAAAGGGGCAACACAAAAGCGGUGGGAGAACAGGGUCCCCAUGAUCUUCUGCACCAGAGAGGGGAGGCCAGCUUGCUUCCAGAGAUGGGCCAUCAACCGGUUUUCCCAGGUUCACCGAGGGGAGUCAGUGAAGUGCAUCGCUCCAUCCGUGACACCGCUCUGCCUUGACAAAGGACCAACAUUCCUGAGAGCUUCCCAGAGCUGA
rnacentral:lncRNA from 1 species